rnacentral:tmRNA from 1 species
GGGGAUGAUUGGUCUUGACAAAAGAAUACGCCCGUGAGGUGCGCAGGAGUGCUCCGACAUCACUUAAAAAGGCCGGAACCAAUACGUGCCAAGAACACUCUUGCACGAGCAAAGUCUAUUCUUUCUCCCUAUUUUGGGGUAAGCGACUUUGCUCUCGCAUACGCCUAAAGCCGCGUCAGCGGUUUUCACGUCUGCGACGCUUGUUCUCUUUGACGCCCGAUAAGACCGAACGAGUGUAAUAAAAAUUCGGACUGGAGCGCCGCGUGUCCCGCGCAGCGCUCAAGAUUCUAGGGACGGCACGCUCGGUGAGAUUUUGCUUGUUUCUCACUCGCCAGUGUAUAAAAACAAGCUACCCUGCGUAGAUGCCUCAGAGCAAUUCUUUUGCACCCGGGUUCGACUCCCGGCAUCUCCACUC